rnacentral:rRNA from 1 species
CCUACGGGUGGCAGCAGUGGGGAAUAUUCCUCAAUGGGGGCAACCCUGAUGCAGCAACGCCGCGUGAAGGAAGACGGCUUUCGGAUUGUAAACCUCUGUUCUUAGUGACAAAUAGUGACGGUAGCUAAUGUGCAAGCCACGGCUAACGACGUCCCAGCAGCCGCGGUAAUACGUAGGUGGCAAGCGUUGUCCGGAAUUACUGGGGGUAAAGGGAGCGCAGGCGGGAAGCCAAGUCAGCUGUGAAAAGUACGGGCUUAACUUGUAGACUGCAGUUGAAACUGGUUGUCUUGAGAGAAGUAGAGGGUGGCGGAAUUCCGAGUGUAGCGGUGAAAUGCGUAGAUAUACGGAGGAACACCGGUGGCGAAGGCGGCCAACUGGGCUUUAGCUGACGCUGAGGCUCGAAAGUGUGGGGAGCAAACAGGAUUAGAGACCCGGGUAGUC